UGGGGAAUUUUCCGCAAUGGGCGGAAGCCUGACGGAGCAAUGCCGCGUGGAGGUGGAAGGCCUACGGGUCGUCAACUUCUUUUCUCGGAGAAGAAACAAUGACGGUAUCUGAGGAAUAAGCAUCGGCUAACUCUGUGUCAG
rnacentral:rRNA from 1 species